rnacentral:rRNA from 1 species
UACGGGAUUGCCUCAGUAGCGGCGAGUGAAGCGGCAAGAGCUCAGAUUUGAAAUCUCACCUAGUGUGCGAGUUGUAAAUUGCAGGUUGGAGUCUCGGGUUAGACGUGUGUGCAAGUCCCUUGGAACAGGGUGCCACUGAGGGUGAGAGCCCCGUAUCGAUGCAUGUCGACACCUGUGAGGCCCUUCUGACGAGUCGAGUUGUUUGGGAAUGCAGCUCUAAGUGGGUGGUAAAUUCCAUCUAAGGCUAAAUAUUGGCGAGAGACCGAUAGCGAACAAGUACUGUGAAGGAAAGAUGAAAAGCACUUUGAAAAGAGAGUGAAACAGCACGUGAAAUUGUUGAAAGGGAAGGGUAUUGGGCUCGACAUGGGAUUUACGCAUCGUUGCCUCUCGUGGGCGGCGCUCUGGGUUUUUCCUGGGCCAGCAUCGGUUUUCGUUGCAGGAUAAGGACUAAUUGGAAUGUGGCUCCUCGGAGUGUUAUAGCCUUGUUGUAGAUGCUGCGUAUGGGGACCGAGGGCUGCGGCGGACUCGUUUCGUCUCGGAUGCUGGCACAACGGCGCAAUACCGCCGAUCAUGAGCACAGACACCCAAA